UACGUAGGGUGCGAGCGUUAAUCGGAAUUACUGGUCGUAAAGCGUGCGCAGGCGGUUCGUUAAGUCAGCUGUGAAAGCCCCGGGCUCAACCUGGGAAUUGCGGUUGAAACUGGCGGACUAGGAUCUGGCAGAGGGGGGUGGAAUUCCACGUGUAGCAGUGAAAUGCGUAGAGAUGUGGAGGAACACCGAUGGCGAAGGCAGCCCCCUGGGCUGAGAUUGACGCUCAGGCACGAAAGCGUGGGGAGCAAACAGG
rnacentral:rRNA from 1 species